rnacentral:lncRNA from 1 species
UUUCUGUGUUAAUACUUCUCUAUAUAGCAUGAAUAUUUUUAGACAAGUUUCCUGAAAAACAAAACCAAAACAUCUUUAAAUUAUUAAUUGGAAAAUUAAAAGCUCUUGCAUUAAAAUUAUCCUCAAAUGAAAGAAAAUUCUCAAGACUCAUUCUGCUUUCAACUACUGCGGCUGUUGAAAACAUCGUGUAAAGUACUGGUAUGGCAUUGGCUGUGCUGCCAAAGUGCUUCAACUUUAAAAUGCAAGCAUGUAUUUUAUCUCACAUACAAGCAAUUUUCUUUGUACUGAAAAUCAGUACACCAACCAGAACUUCCCAAGUUCCUCCAUACGCUGUAAAACAAUCUUGCCACCUCACAACCCCAUACAGCUUUCACCCAUGCUGUGUAGCUACCUGCUUUAGCAGAUUCCAGUUAUCUUCAAACCACCGUUGUGUAUUCAAUGAUUUUUCAGAGGCUCGCCUCCUUUUUUCACCCUGCUCAAAAAGAUGUGAAAUAAACCAGUAUUUGUGUGACUUUACUACAUGGGGCUUUUCAUCACAGGGGCCCACCUGUUUCUCCCUCAGAGCAGCAGGGGAGCCAUGGGCCCGCACCACACCACCCCCACAGCAGGUUUUGGAGGGAAGCCACUGGAGAUGUCAGAGGGGCACCGCGGUGUCCUAUCCCUGUUCCUUACUCUCCACCCAAACACCCUUCAUCCCUCUCCCUCUGCCCUGCGAUGGCCUCAUUCCCACUCUCACCACCCGCCGCCACGCAGCGCCCACCACGGCCGCCGCCGCCUCACACGGAGGGGACCCACCAGCGGCAGGGAGUCCAACACCCUCCGGCAGGCAGCAGGAACACCGCUCCGUCCCAACGUCCCCACCCCAACUCGCAGCCCUCGGGCUCCCCCACGCCUCUCCCGGCCGCGCAGGCAGGCCCGCCCGAGCGGAGGCCGUGCCGCCUCAGCAGCUCCCUGCCCGCGGAAAGGCGGGAAAGGCGGGAGGACCCUACAAAAGGGAGGGGGCGCAUGCGCAGGAACACGCGCCCCGGGGCCCGCCGUGCAGGUUCCGCACUGAGCUCCUUUGAACCUCACCUCCCGUUAGCUAUUUGAGUCUUUUUUUAGAAACGGCUUUCUCA